AUUUAUAUAGUUUAGGAAAACAUUACAUUUUCACUGUAAAGACAAAGGAGUACUUUUAUAAAUA
rnacentral:tRNA from 1 species